GCUUCUGUGGUCCAAUGGUUAGGAUUCCACCCUUCCAUUCAACCGUUUAACGGUGGAGCAAGGUGGAGGUUCGUGUUCGAUUCACGGCAGUUGCA
rnacentral:tRNA from 1 species